rnacentral:rRNA from 1 species
GAUGAACGCUGGCGGCGUACCUAAUACAUGCAAGUCGAGCGAACAGACGAGGAGCUUGCUCCUCUGACGUUAGCGGCGGACGGGUGAGUAACACGUGGAUAACCUACCUAUAAGACUGGGAUAACUUCGGGAAACCGGAGCUAAUACCGGAUAAUAUAUUGAACCGCAUGGUUCAAUAGUGAAAGACGGUUUUGCUGUCACUUAUAGAUGGAUCCGCGCCGCAUUAGCUAGUUGGUAAGGUAACGGCUUACCAAGGCAACGAUGCGUAGCCGACCUGAGAGGGUGAUCGGCCACGCUGGAACUGAGACACGGUCCAGACUCCUACGGGAGGCAGCAGUAGGGAAUCUUCCGCAAUGGGCGAAAGCCUGACGGAGCAACGCCGCGUGAGUGAUGAAGGUCUUCGGAUCGUAAAACUCUGUUAUUAGGGAAGAACAAAUGUGUAAGUAACUAUGCACGUCUUGACGGUACCUAAUCAGAAAGCCACGGCUAACUACGUG